CUCUGCCCCUCUCCCCAUCCCACCCAGUCUUCAACUCCUUUAAAACCAGAAGCUACAGUGCGCGGCUCUGAAGGUUUCUCCUGCCUGUGAACUUCCACGGUUCCAAGAGCUGGACUGCAAACUUCUAGGUUGCAGAACUCAUCAUUCUGACAGCCUGCCUGCCUGAAAUGGCUCGAAGAAGAAAACUCUGUGCUGACAUCCUAGAAUGAGAGAUCCUCCUUGCCUGCUUGAUGAAGGCAGCAGCCAUGUUUUGGAAGACACAUAGCGAGGAACAGAAGGUGGGCAGCUCUAGGACAGCCUCCAGCUCCCAGCCAGCAAAAAGCAAGGUCCUUGGUCAUACAGCCUCAAGGAAUGAAUUCAGCCACAACCUGAGUGAGCUUAGAAUUGGAUCCAUCCCAGCUGAGCCUCCCAAUGAGAAUGCAAUCCAGCCAAGACCUUGACUGUGAACCUGUGGGAUCUGACACAGAAGACCCAGCUAAGCUAUUCCUGGUCUCCUGAUCCAUGAAAACUGUGAGAUAAUAAAUCCCACACAAGGCCCCCAGGUCUCCAGUUGAUGACCGCUGUGGAAGAACUCAAGGAGACAGUCUUUGGAGAAAGCCAGGAAUGAGGAUCAUCUCUUCCUAUGCAAGGGCAGGGCCUUGCACAGGCCUAAGACCACACAGAGGUCCUCCCUAGUGCUGGCCCCUCCAGGCUUUGUCCACAGAGGCUUGGAAGGCCCCGCUGCCCCUGCCAUCCCACCCAAGAUGUCCUCCCUACUUCCUCCUGAGUCCUGGCAGGUGAUGAGAUUCCAGUGGCAGCCCAGUCAUGCCAGGGACACAGCAACUGCCCGGGGCACUCAAGCUCUGAGCAUCCCUGGUCUUUCUGCCUUGCAACUCAUUCCUGGAAAAGCGAUGAGCUCUGCGAUCUGCAUGUAUGACGCUCCUGCUGCACACACCCUCUGAGUCUCCACAGUUUGGUCACCUCCCAGUCACUCUUUUAU
ensembl:lncRNA